CCUCAGCAGCCAAGAACGUAAUCCAGCAGAUGAUGGAAAGGAUAAGUGCACAAGCUCCGCAACCUCCGUGCUUCAGGGCCUUUCUGAAGCAGAAGGAGAAUAGACAGGCCCACCUCAUCGUGAGCACUUGACUCACCAAAAGUAGAACAGUUGCAGUAAUUCCUAAACUUGUUGCAAUCUCUGAGUCGUAGACACAAUAAUUG
rnacentral:misc_RNA from 1 species